ACUCGGUCGCUACGUAGCCACUGAGCUUGGCUCGAGCUCGGUCGCUACUUAGCGACCGAGCGGAACACGCGUUCGGUCAUUGCAUAACGACAUUUUUCGAGCUCUUGUCCGAUGUCUCGUGUUUCCUCUGUAAAGCUUUUCGUAAAAAAGAAUCUAUUUCUAAAAAGUAUUCGUCGAAGAAAGUUCUCAUUUUCUUCUCUGGACGUUUUGAAUGUUAACUCCGCCGUAACCAUAUUUGACCCCAACAACGCAGGACCUCCUUGCUCAUCAGGAAGUGCACUCCACGGAAACGUCGAGGAAUCGCCAACAUCUUUUUCGCCACUGCUUCCCCAAGAAAGGAUACCAGACGAGACACAUCUGAAAGCAAAACCAAUUAUCAGCAGACCAACAACCAAAGGAGGAAAAGGCGCCAGAAGCGAGACUUACCAACAGUACGCCAGAAUGUAGGAUAAUAGAAGGGUUCCUGGAUCUUCAUAAACAUGUACCGACUGGUCCAAUUGUCCCCAAAGGGGUAAUUACCUCGGGCACCUCUCGAAGGCUCUUCAACCAAGGGAGCGCCGUCGCGAGGCUGAAGGUGGUAUAACCCAGACACGAUUAUUAAUGGGGCAAAUUAGUAGGAGUAUAGAACUUUGUGUACCCCGGUAUCAAGGCCAUAAAGCUCCCCGGGCACUUGGAUUGACAUUAAAGUCUUCCAGGAUAAAUGAGUGAGUUGAGAAGGACAGAAACCCAAAAACGAUGAUACUUCAGCCACGAGCGAAGGGACGAUCCCCCGGAAACCUUCUAUCAGAUACGCCUCAAAAUUGCUAUCUCGCCUGGCCCCCCAUCAGGAGCGCGCUCAAAUUCCAAAGAACUCCUCACCUGCACCGAAAAAUGGAUCCCGUACUUUCUCCAUAUCACCUUCAGACCUCCCUCCUGAAUUUCAGAACGCGGGCCAUCAUCGAGAACGAGGGAAUCACGUUGCUUCAAAGGCACCAUUGGGAUCGCCUCGCUAUCAGUUUCAGAAACUUCUCCGAAAGAAGCAACAGAGGAGGAGAAAGGAUCAGCAAACAGGCGACAAGGCCUUACGCGGCCACCCACGAGUGAAGCAGGAAGAUCAGAGUUCAUCUUCUUGAAUAAGGGAUGAAUGAAACUCUAUGCAUCGGGCACCCUAAAUAUAUGGCUGAUUCUUUCCUUUUUGGAGCCAGGAAAAAGGAAUCAGAUAUUUCCAAAUCUUCAGAAGAGUCCUUUAUGAAAGAAACGGCCGGUCUGGAAAAAGGAAAGGCGCCAGGGGAAGCAAUGUUUCCACUUUCUUCCUCAAAUCGACGGAUCCUAGUCUCAGAGGCUCCAUAAUCCCCCUAGCGAGAACUUCUCCAGCUUAUACGCAGAUUAACAUCAGAGUUCCGGUCCCACCAUCUCCAGAAGAUAGAAGGAACUACUACUAGACUCCGGUCAAACAACGAAGGAACCGGUCCUCACCUGGGUUCAGAAUGAGUUCCGACUUGAAUGGAAUCCAAGCUAGCAAGACCAAUGGAACGGGGUCCUGCCUAAGGGGAGCCUGCUGAGAAUGAGCAACCCCGGUUGACUUGAGUGUACAGGUUAUUCCCCGACUUCGAUGACGAAAUUGAGAAAUAAGGGGCAAACUGUUGGGGAAAAAUACCCCGGUACCAUUUCCUCCAGCCUCCAGGCAGGACCUAGACCCUCGGGUCCCCGCUAGAAAGGAACCCCGAGUUCGGUCCCUGGAACCGAGCUCCCUUCCAAGAAAUGGAAAACUUCCGACAAGGAGAACCUUCCAUUUUUCCGAAUAUGGAGAGUUUAACCUAACAAAACCGACUCCUAGACGACUACAUAAGAGCUACUAAAACCCUGAAGCAAGGGAUCAACUUAUCCAAGGCUUAGAGACUAGAACUUGACGGCUAGAAUUAGGGUUCUUACUCAAUACCUUGUAAUUUUUCUUGUUCUAUCUAAUAAAAGUCUCCUCAAGCCUAUCUCUUUAUUAUUCCCUCAAAAUCCUCAUGAAAUCCUCACAAAAGAUAUACAAAUCUGCUCGGUUUACCAGCUUGUCCAUCGUUCCGUGGUACUCUAAAAGAGCCUACACAAAAAUCCUCUAACAAAACGGACUCUAUAAUUGCAUAAGGAAACGAUAAGGGUUCUUACCAUUGGGGUUUUUCGAUUUAGGUACGCCGCUCAAGAUGCCGGAAGAGACAGAGGUCUUGCCGUUGAGUUUGUUCAGACCGGAGGUGACCGAAACUUCGCCUUUGGCUUGCUUCGAGUGGGGAUCGCCGAUUGAGUGGUUGGAAGAGACAUAUGGUGUUCCGAUGGGCUUGAUCGGUCCGGGAGAGGAGUCAGCAUCAAUGCCUUUUGGUUUCUCGGAGGUGGAUUUUCCGUUGGAACUCAUUGCAACGAAGCUUAAUCGAAAUAAGAAUCGGAUUAAGAAUUGUAUAAACAAAAUCUGAAGGAGAAAAGGGAGAUUAAGAGUUUUAUAAAGAAAAUCAAAAGGAGAAAAGCAAAACGAAUCCAUAAAUGAGAGUAAAGGGACAACGAAGUGGAGGAUGUAUUGAUUGUUUAGGGGUCAGAUCGUGAAACAGAUCAAAGAAAAGGAAGAGCAAAAAGGAUGAAGAAUCGAUCUGAGUUAUUAGGGUUUGAAGAAAUGCGAAAGGGAGAGGUCGAAAUGGUUUGGUCGCCGUCCGUGUCUUUCAAUGGUCUGAUGGGCUUGAGGUCCAAUCGUAUCAAAAACACGGUAAACCCAAGAAAGGCAACACACAUGUGACAUGGCAAAAACGUCCUCUCUGAUUGGCUGAUUAAAUUGUCCUACGUGGAUAGGCUGGUUGAGGCUGAUAUUCUGCUUUUAUUACUUAUUGAUUUGAGGUUUCAUUCUGGUGUUAUGUCUUUGUAUUUAUUUUGGUUCUCUUGUAGUUUUAAAAACUAUAGAUACACAGGUCUUGGUCUAAAUCAUAUAUAUAUAUAUAUAUAUAUAUAAUGAGAGACUUUUCUCUCUUCCUAGAAGGUCCACGUCAGAUUCCUUUUAUUUGGAAGGGUGAUUCGUUGUUUGGUCCGUUUGAAGUAGGUUUGGUUUGAUUAUAUGAUUUUGGGUUGGGCUCCUGUGUUCUGUUUCUAUAUAUAUAUAAUGAGAGAUUUUCCUCUCUUCCUAGAGGGUCCACGUCAGAUUCCUUUUAUUUGGAAGGGUGAUUCGUUGUUUGGUCCGAUUGAAGUAGGUUUGGUUUGAUUAUAUGAUUUUGGGUUGGGCUCCUGUGUUCUGUUUCUAUAUUGGGUUCAGAAAUAUAUCGUAUGGGCUGUUAGUUGGGGUUGGGCCUGUGUUAUUGAAUAAUCGAUAGGAAUAAUUGAAAGAAAAUGAUGUGCUUUGUUCUAGGGCAUCAUCCUUUCCUUCUUCCAUUUUUCAAGUCGCCGAUUUUGUUUCUGUUGUUUUGUAAAGCCAAUCAUUCUCAUCUCUUUGCCUUCCUCCACCUUCGAUGUAUUCUUUAACUGUUGUCUUAAUUACACUAAACUCUGUAACGUUUUGGUAUUCUUCGUCUGAUGAUUCUUUGUUCUAUAAGUAGGAGAUGGAUGAGGCUGUGGGGAUCGCUCGCAAUCACUCUCAGUUUUGUUUCUGUUGUUUUGUAAAGCCAAUCAUUCUCAUCUCUUUGCCUUCCUCCACCUUUGAUGUAUUCUUUAACUGUUGUCUUAAUUACACUAAACUCUGUAACGUUUUGGUAUUCUUCGUCUGAUGAUUCUUUGUUCUAUAAGUAGGAGAUGGAUGAGGCUGUGGGGAUCGCUCACAAUCACUCUCAGUUAAAAUUUCUUCCUUCAGCUUCCAAAGAUUCUCUCAAAGAUGGCUUCCUCCGCUCCGGCCGUUGUUGGCCCGACAUCGUUCGACGAUCUCUGCCUGGGUCGAUCUGCUCAGUUCGUCGUGGCUCGCCUCCUGCGUUUUUGGGACUCCAGAAACAUUAAGAAGCAAGGCAAAUUCAUGGGAAUCACCUUGCUUUUCCUUGAUGAGCAGGUACUGUUCCAUUUAUUUACGAUCAAACUUUUGAGAAAGACCAACCAUUUGUGAUUCCGUUAAUUUCAUCAGUUCUGUUUUGUCACAUGUUUAUUUGUCGUUUUGUUCACAGAAUUCUGUGAUCCAUGGGUUUAUUACUGCCGCUCGCUCCGGUCACUACCAUCCAGGUUUACGAAGUGGUUCCAUCGUCAAAGUUUCACGCUUUGAGUUUGCUAGAUGCACUAAUCUGUACAAGAUCACAGACAAUCCAUUCGUGAUCCGGUUCCUCCCACAAACAACCAUUGAUGAAGUCGCUCCCAUUAUCAACCUCCAGAAAUUCAUGCUCAGGAAGUUUGAGCAUCUUCAAGCACUUGAUAACACGAACUUGGAACUCCCAGGUUUAUUUCUUAUAUAUUAUUCUCGAAAUAAUUUUAUUCGCUUUAAAAAUUGUCUUAAUUAUGGUCUCAGGCUGAGACAGUAUAUGUGUUUCACGUUGCAGAUGUUGUAGGAAUGAUUCGUUCCGUCCAAGGUUCCGAUCUUUCGGACGCUACAGUGAUGACUCGAGUUGUUGUCCGCUUCGUCAUCGAACCUAAUGUUGUGGUGUAUCUGUCCUUAUGGGAUGAAGCUGCGGCAACCUUUCGGGGACUCAUCAGCUCAGGCGAAAGAGCACAGUCUGUUAUGGUGGUCCCAACUGUGAAUCCAAAAAUCUUUGGAGGUUUGUAAAAUCUUUUAAAAAUUUUGGUUCAAACUGCUUUUGGUAAAUUCAAUUAUUUUGGGGUUUAAUUUAUGAUGCAACCCAAACACUUACUCUCUGCAGGAAAUUUGUACCCCAACUCCACCCCAGCCACGAAAUUUUAUUUCGACAUGAAUCUUCCAGCCAUCACCCAGUUCACAGCUAGGUUAUAUUCCACUUUGAUUAUAUUAAUCUUGAAUUAGUCACUUUCUAACAUAUAUGAUUCGCUUUCAUCUUAGGAGGACCAGUUGGUGAAUCUUUUCCUUGCAUUGAUACCAAGGAAUCAAUCAAGAAAAAGGAACAUGUCUCCAUUGGAGAUCUCAACAAAUUCAUCUCCAACUCUGAUGAGCAGACCCAAGAAGCAGAGUUCAUCUGCAAGGCUCGAGUGCUUGAGGUUCUCCAACAGAAUGGGUGGUCUUUUGUUUCAUGCACUGGCUGCAGCAGAAAGUUAGAUCAAUCAAGCAAUUCUCUACGUUGCAACCGUUGUGUUAAUGCCAACGUCACAGGUGUUAUAAAGUGAGCAUUUUAACAGUUUAGUAUCAGAAUCAUUGUUUCUUGGAGACCACUUCUUUCCAUUGUGCUCACUAAAUCCGUUUUUUUUUCAGGUACCGUGUUGAAUUGUCCGUUGAUGAUGGGAAUGACAAUGCCACUUUUGUGGUUUUAGACAGAGAGAUGCUUAAUCUCAUAAAGAAAGAUGCCGCAACUCUAACUGUCAAAGAGGUUUGUUUACAAAAAACAUAAAAAUUAUACAAAGCAUAGCACUGCAUUGUGAAGUUACAAAAUGUUUUCACUUAUUUCAGAUGAAUGGUGGUGGGGGCGAGCAGCUCCCAUAGUGUCUAGAAGAACUUGGUGGAAAAGAAUUUGUGUUCCAAAUACGUGUUACCCCGUUCAAUUUCACCCCAAACCACCGCAAUUUCACUGUUUGUGGAAUAAGUGACCACAUUGAACCUGAGGUAUUAUAUAUAUUAUUCCAUUAAAUUUUACAUUAACUGACGCAUUAUAAUACAUGUUAAUUCGUUAACCGGACUUUCAACACCAACGAAGCUUUAAUUGUUGGUGGCGAGAGUGGCGAAACAUCUUCGUCCGCCGGUACCUUGGUUGAAGGUGAAGCGUAUGAUCCAAAUCCAACCGGUGGUCAGGUGAAGGAUGGUAGCCGCAAACGUCCCCGUGAGUGAAGCUACUAAGCUGUGAUCCGUCAACCCAACUCUGCUCCCGUUUUUUAAUUAUCAGUACCUUUAAUUACUAUGCAUUUCUUUUUUUUUUUUGGACUUUCCAGUAUUUUCCAGUUUCGGAAUAUGUUUCCGUCUGUGUACCUCUUAUGAGGAAAGACUUUUUAAUUUAAUAUCUACGAUGGGUUGACGUUAUAUUAAGUUUGAUUGUAAGAAAAUGCAGAAAAUGUUGUUUUGCAUACAUACCGAUAUGGAAUUAUAAAUGGAAUCUAGGUGACAACAUAAAAUUAAACAGGUCUUAUUUGGGAGAAGACAUCAUAUAAGAGUUAGUUAAUUAAAUUCUAUAAAUUAGAUCUAACAAUUGGACGUUUCAAGCAAUGCAUAGUAAAUACAAUUGAAGCAGUGAAGACGUUUAAAAAUACGAUUCGAUCUAUACAAGCCUGUUUAAAUUUGUAUCAGACUAAUGGCUAUUAUAUAUAUGAUUUAGCAUUUUUAACUAUAAAACGGGAAUGUGUGCCUCAAGUUAUUAAAAUCCAAGCAAUCAACACUUUUAAAAAGUUAAACUUUCAUACAAAUGUAGUUUACGGAUCACAAAUUAAAUAUGCAUCUACGUUUUCAUAUAAAAUAGUUGACAAGUAAAGUUAGUGAUUAAAAAAAAACAUUCAACUUAUAUAAGCCAUUUUAAAAUAAUAUAUACACUACAAAAAAACAUAUUUUUUACUAGGGCAGUAUUCGUUGUAAAUUCGUCGUAAACGGGGUGUUACGACGAAU